UACGUAGGUGGCAAGCGUUUGUCCGGAAUUACGUGGGUGUAAAGCGCGUGUAGGCGCAGACCAAGUCGGCGGUGAAAGCGCCCGGCUCAACUGGGCGAGGUCCGUGGAAACUGGUCAGCUGGAGGACGGUAGAGGCGAGUGGAAUUUGUAGUGUAGCAGUGAAAUGCGUAGAUAUUACAAGGAACACCAAUGGCGAAGGCAGCUUGCUGGGCUUCUUCUGACACUGAGGUACGAAAAGCGUGGGGGAGCGAACAGG
rnacentral:rRNA from 1 species